UACAGAGGGGGCAAGCGUUGUUCGGAAUUACUGGGCGUAAAGGGCGCGUAGGCGGCCUUCUAAGUCGAACGUGAAAUCCCCGGGCUCAACCCGGGAACUGCGUCCGAUACUGGAAGGCUUGAAUCCGGGAGAGGGAUGCGGAAUUCCAGGUGUAGCGGUGAAAUGCGUAGAUAUCGAGAGGAACACCUGCGGCGAAGGCGGGUUGCUGGGCUGACACGUGACGCUGAGGCGCGAAAGCUAGGGGAGCGAACGGG
rnacentral:rRNA from 1 species